rnacentral:rRNA from 1 species
UACGUAGGGUGCGAGCGUUGUCCGGAAUUAUUGGGCGUAAAGGGCUCGUAGGCGGUUUGUCGCGUCGGGGAGUGAAAUCCCCAGCUUAACCUGGGAACUGCAUCCGAUACUGGAUGGCUUGAAUCCGGGAGAGGGAUGCAGAAUUCCAGGUGUAGCGGUGAAAUGCGUAGAUAUCUGGAGGAAUACCGGUGGCGAAGGCGGCAUCCUGGACCGGCAUUGACGCUGAUGAGCGAAAGCUAGGGGAGCAAACGGG